rnacentral:rRNA from 1 species
CCUACGGGAGGCAGCAGUGGGGAAUAUUGCACAAUGGGGGAAACACUGAUGCAGCGAAGCCGCGUGAGUGAAGAAGUAACUAGUUAUGUAAAGCUCUAUUAGCAGGGGAGAAAAUGACGGUACGUGAGUAAGAAGCUACGGCUAACUACGUGCCAGCAGCCGCGGUAACACGCAGGGGGCAAGCGUUAUCCGGAUUUACUGGGUGUAAAGGGAGCGUAGACGGCAGUGCAAGACUGGAGUGAAAGGGGGGGGCUCAACCCCCGGACUGCUGUGGAAACUGUACGGCUGGAGUGCAGGGGAGGUAAGUGGAAUUCGUGGUGUAGCGGUGAAAUGCGUAGAUAUUAGGAAGAACUCCGGUUGCGAAGGCAGCUUACUGGAGUGUAACUGACGUUGAGGCUCGAAGGCGUGGGGAGCGAACAGGAUUAGAUACCCUUGUAGUC